UGUGUUUGCAAGUAAAGCUUCCAGAAAGAUUUCGAACAUCACAUGAUCAAAAAUCUUGAGCAUAAAUAGAACCACUCACCACUUACAAGCACAACUUUCACUCUGAAAGCUACCACACGGAACUCUGGAACCUGUGAACGUCUCAACAACAUGUCAUCGAAUGAAGUCGUUUAUCAGUUUGCUGACAAGCACUAUCUAAGUAUCAACUACUUCAAUGGGGUAGUGUAUGUGCAUCUGUCCAACUGGAAUUCCAGAGGUGUGAAAAAGACCAUCCCAAUGACGGCGGAGGUUUUUCAUCACUUUAUUGGUAGGAGUAAAGAAUACGUGACCAGACUGGAGGAGUAUGAGGCAACCCUACGAAAUGCCGAUGACGUGCCUCAGCCGGAGCUGCCGUCACCGCAACCACCUGCAACCUCCCAGCCUCAACCUCCAUCGUCUGCAAUGUCAGCGCAACAACUGACAUCAGGAGCUCAACCUGGAGCGACGAGGGAGCCUUCCUCUGUCAUGACUGGGAUGCAGCCAGGGGCUCAAGGAGUGAUGCAAACGAUACAAGCAGGACACAUGCAUGCUGUUGCUCAUGGCAGAGGUGGUGUUCGUCCAAUGUCACCAAACCCGAUGAAUCAGUUUCCUUCACCAUCACCACCACCACCGUAUCCAAACCACCAGUAGUCUAUGUAACUGCUGACGGUCCAUGUGAGUGUGAACGUUCGACAAUGAUUCAACUCAUAUUUUUGGUGCGAUGUGCAAAAUUCAACCGAUACGUUGUCACUAAAUAAAAGUUAUAAAAUUUGAA